rnacentral:rRNA from 1 species
UGAGUAACCUGCCCUUCACUCUGGGAUAACUCCGGGAAACCGGGCUAAUACUGGAUAUGACUCGAACAGGCAUCUGUUUCGGGUGGAAAGAUUUAUUGGUGGAGGAUGGACUCGCGGCCUAUCAGCUUGUUGGUGAGGUAAUGGCUCACCAAGGCGACGACGGGUAGCCGGCCUGAGAGGGCAUCGGCCACACUGGGACUGAGACACGGCCCAGACUCCUACGGGAGCA